rnacentral:misc_RNA from 1 species
GAUGAAGAACGUAGCGAAAUGCGAUAAGUAAUGUGAAUUGCAGAAUUCAGCGAAUCAUCGAAUCUUUGAACGCACAUUGCGCCCAUUAGUAUUCUAGUGGGCAUGCCUGUUCGAGCGUCAUUUCAACCCUUAAGCCUAGCUUAGUGUUGGGAAUCUGCUGUAUUGCAGUUCCUCAAAUACAACGGCGGAUCUGUAACAUCCUCUGAGCGUAGUAAAUUUUUAUCUCGCUUUUGUUAGGUGUUGCAGCUCUCAGCCGCUAAACCCCCCAAUUUUUGUGGUUGACCUCGGAUCAGGUAGGAAUACCCGCUGAACUUAAGCAUAUCAAUAAGCGGAGGA